GUGGUUUGUCGCGUUGUUCGUGAAAUCUCACGGCUUAACUGUGAGCGUGCGGGCGAUACGGGCAGACUUGAGUACUGCAGGGGAGACUGGAAUUCCUGGUGUAGCGGUGGAAUGCGCAGAUAUCAGGAGGAACACCGGUGGCGAAGGCGGGUCUCUGGGCAGUAACUGACGCUGAGGAGCGAAAGCGUGGGGAGCGAACAGGAUUAGAUACCCUGGUAGUCCACGCCGUAAACGGUGGGUACUAGGUGUGGGUUUCCUUCCUUGGGAUCCGUGCCGUAGCUAACGCAUUAAGUACCCCGCCUGGGGAGUACGGCCGCAAGGCUAAAACUCAAAGAAAUUGACGGGGGCCCGCACAAGCGGCGGAGCAUGUGGAUUAAUUCGAUGCAACGCGAAGAACCUUACCUGGGUUUGACAUGCACAGGACGCCGGCAGAGAUGUCGGUUCCCUUGUGGCCUGUGUGCAGGUGGUGCAUGGCUGUCGUCAGCUCGUGUCGUGAGAUGUUGGGUUAAGUCCCGCAACGAGCGCAACCCUUGUCUCAUGUUGCCAGCGGGUAAUGCCGGGGACUCGUGAGAGACUGCCGGGGUCAACUCGGAGGAAGGUGGGGAUGACGUCAAGUCAUCAUGCCCCUUAUGUCCAGGGCUUCACACAUGCUACAAUGGCCGGUACAAAGGGCUGCGAUGCCGCGAGGUUAAGCGAAUCCUUUUAAAGCCGGUCUCAGUUCGGAUCGGGGUCUGCAACUCGACCCCGUGAAGUCGGAGUCGCUA
rnacentral:rRNA from 1 species